AUUGAACGCUGGCGGCAGGCUUAACACAUGCAAGUCGAACGAGUGGCGGACGGGUGAGUAAUGUCUGGGAAACUGCCUGAUUGAGGGGGAUAACUACUGGAAACGGUAGCUAAUACCGCAUACCAUCAGAUGUUCCCAGAUGGGAUUAGCUAUGUGGGGGGGUAAUGGCUCACCAAGGCGACGAUCCCUAGCUGGUCUGAGAGGAAGACCAGCCACAAGGGAACUGAGACACGGUCCAGACUCCUACGGGAGGAAGCAGUGGGGAAUAUUGCACAAUGGGCGCAAGCCUGAUGCAGCCAUGCCGCGUGUGAGAAGAAGGCCUUCGGGUUGUAAAGCACUUUCAGCGAGGAGGCGUUACUCGCAGAAGAAGCACCGGCUAACUCCGUGCCAGCCGCCGCGGUAAUAC
rnacentral:rRNA from 1 species